GGCCCUAUCGUCUAGUGGUUAGGACACUAGGUUCUCAGCCUAGGAACCGGGGUUCGACUCCCCGUGGGGUCA
rnacentral:tRNA from 1 species